rnacentral:rRNA from 1 species
GACGAACGCUGGCGGCGUGCUUAACACAUGCAAGUCGAACGGAAAGGCCCUGCUUUUGUGGGGUGCUCGAGUGGCGAACGGGUGAGUAACACGUGAGUAACCUGCCCUUGACUUUGGGAUAACUUCAGGAAACUGGGGCUAAUACCGGAUAGGAGCUCCUGCUGCAUGGUGGGGGAUGGAAAGUUUCGGCGGUUGGGGAUGGACUCGCGGCUUAUCAGCUUGUUGGUGGGGUAGUGGCUUACCAAGGCUUUGACGGGUAGCCGGCCUGGGAGGGUGACCGGCCACAUUGGGACUGAGAUACGGCCCAGACUCCUACGGGAGGCAGCAGUGGGGAAUAUUGCACAAUGGGCGGAAGCCUGAUGCAGCAACGCCGCGUGCGGGAUGAAGGCCUUCGGGUUGUAAACUGCUUUCGCCUGUGACGAAGCGUGAGUGACGGUAAUGGGUAAAGAAGCACCGGCUAACUACGUG